rnacentral:rRNA from 1 species
AUUGAACGCUGGCGGCAGGCCUAACACAUGCAAGUCGAACGAGUGGCGGACGGGUGUGUAAUGUCUGGGAAACUGCACGAUGGAGGGGGAUAACUAUUGGAAACGGUAGCUAAUACCCCAUACCAUCGGAUGUGCCCACAUGGGAUUAGCUCGUAGGUGAGGUAACGGCUCACCAAGGCGACGAUCCGUCACUGGUCUGAGAGGAUGAUCAGUCACACUGGAACUGAGACACGUUCCAGACUCCUACGGGAGGCAGCAGUGGGGAAUAUUGGACAAUGGGCGAAAGCCUGAUCCAGCCAUGCCGCGUGUGUGAAGAAGGUCUUCGGAUUGUAAAGCACUUUAAGUUGGGAGGCGUUACCAGCAGAAUAAGCACCGGCUAACUUCGUGCCAGCAGCCGCGGUAAUUC